AGAGUAACUGCUUGCACCUUGACGGUACCUAACCAGAAAGCCACGGCUAACUACGUGCCAGCAGCCGCGGUAAUACGUAGGUGGCAAGCGUUGUCCGGAAUUAUUGGGCGUAAAGGCUCGCAGGCGGUUUCUUAAGUCUGAUGUGAAAGCCCCCGGCUCAACCGGGGAGGGUCAUUGGAAACUGGGAAACUUGAGUGCAGAAGAGGAGAGUGGAAUUCCACGUGUAGCGGUGAAAUGCGUAGAGAUGUGGAGGAACACCAGUGGCGAAGGCGACUCUCUGGUCUGUAACUGACGCUGAGGAGCGAAAGCGUGGGGAGCGAACAGGAUUAGAUACCCUGGUAGUCCACGCCGUAAACGAUGAGUGCUAAGUGUUAGGGGGUUUCCGCCCCUUAGUGCUGCAGCUAACGCAUUAAGCACUCCGCCUGGGGAGUACGGUCGCAAGACUGAAACUCAAAGGAAUUGACGGGGGCCCGCACAAGCGGUGGAGCAUGUGGUUUAAUUCGAAGCAACGCGAAGAACCUUACCAGGUCUUGACAUCCUCUGACAACCCUAGAGAUAGGGCUUUCCCUUCGGGGACAGAGUGACAGGUGGUGCAUGGUUGUCGUCAGCUCGUGUCGUGAGAUGUUGGGUUAAGUCCCGCAACGAGCGCAACCCUUGAUCUUAGUUGCCAGCAUUCAGUUGGGCACUCUAAGGUGACUGCCGGUGACAAACCGGAGGAAGGUGGGGAUGACGUCAAAUCAUCAUGCCCCUUAUGACCUGGGCUACACACGUGCUACAAUGGACAGAACAAAGGGCUGCGAGACCGCAAGGUUUAGCCAAUCCCACAAAUCUGUUCUCAGUUCGGAUCGCAGUCUGCAACUCGACUGCGUGAAGCUGGAAUC
rnacentral:rRNA from 1 species